rnacentral:rRNA from 1 species
AUUGAACGCUGGCGGCAGGCCUAACACAUGCAAGUCGAACGCGUGGCGGCCGGGUGAGUAAUGUCUGGGAAACUGCCUGAUGGAGGGGGAUAACUACUGGAAACGGUAGCUAAUACCGCAUACCAUCAUAUGUGCCCAGAUGGGAUUAGCUAGUUGUUGGGGUAACAGCUCACCAAGGCGACGAUCCCUAGCUGGUCUGAGAGGAGGACCAGACACACUGGAACUGAGAAACGGUCCCGAAUCCGACGGGAGGCAGCAGAGGAGGAUAUUGGACUAUGGGCGCAAGACUGAUGCAGCCAUGCCGCGUGUAUGAAGAAGGCCUUCGGGUUGUAAAGUACUUUCAGCGGGGAGGCGUUACCCGCAGUAUAAGCACCGGCUAACUCCGUGCCAGCAGCCGCGGUAAUUC